CUUUAGCACCACAAGUAUUAAAGGUCCUGCCUGCCCAGUGAUAAUUUUAAACGGCCGCGGUAUCCUAACCGUGCAAAGGUAGCGUAAUCACUUGUCUUCUAAAUAAAGACCUGUAUGAACGGCUAAAUGAGAAUGACCCUGUCUCUUAUAACCAAUCAGUGAAACUGAUUUCCCAGUACAAAAGCUGGGAUAAACACAUAAGACGAGAAGACCCUGUGGAGCUUCAAGCCAAGUAUUACCAAACACAACAACCCCGCACCUAAUACCAGGCUUUAAGUUGGGGCGACUUUGGAGCAAAAUAAAACCUCCAAGCACAGAACCACAAAUUCUAACCGAGGCCAACAAGCCAAACCCACACACAUGACCCAGUACUACUGAUCAACGAACCAAGUUACCCCAGGGAUAACAGCGCUAUCUUCUUCAAGAGUCCCUAUCGACAAGAAGGUUUACGACCUCGAUGUUGGAUCAGGACACCCAAAUGGUGCAGCCGCUAUUAAAGGUUCGUUUGUUCAACGAUUAAAGUCCUACGUGAUCUGAGUUCAGACCGGAGCAAUCCAGGUCGGUUUCU
rnacentral:rRNA from 1 species